CUAGGCCCGGAGCGCGAGCCUGGAGGAGGCGGAAGAGAAGGGGCGGAGCAGUCGGUGGACGCGGCGGCUGCGGGAGGCUAGCGCGACCCGACUGUUAAGUUCUCCUUUCCUCUCCAGAGGGGCCGAUAAGGGAGAGAGACCAGAAAUGAGUGGAAUGCCACCUUAAGCCAAAAAAAACUAUUAUAAUUUUUAUUUAGUACUACUUAAAUGAAGAAAGAUAAAAAAAGAAACAAAAUUCCAGCUGAUAAUAUGUCACUCAAUCCAAGUCGACCUUCCUCAUCAGAGUUGGUGGAACUUCAUGUUUUUUAUGUCCCUGAAGGAUCAUGGAACUAUAAGCUAAAUACCAUUUCAACAGAAGUUGUUAACAAAUUCAUUUCAGCUGGAUUUCUAAGAGUAUCUCCUCAACUUACUUUACGAGCCCUGAGGGAGCAUCUUGGUGAGUUCCUGGGUGAAGAUGCUAUUGCAGAAAAAUUUUUAUUUCUGAAAUGCAUUGGAAAUAAUUUAGCUGUGGUGAAGGAAAAGCAAGAAUCAGAACUGAAACUCAAAUCAUUUGCUCCUCCAUAUGCUCUUCAACCAGAAUUAUAUUUGCUUCCUGUAAUAGACCAUUUAGGAAAUGUUUAUUCACCAUCAUCAACAGUUAUUUUAGAUGAGCGGCAGACUAAUAAUGGUAUUAAUGAAGCUGAUGGAACAAUCCACAGACCAAUUAGUGUAACUUUGUUCAAGGAGGAACCUGGAAGAGAUCGCAGUUUGUUAGAAAACACUUUGAAAGAGCUUCCUAACAAGAAUCAGGAAGAAGCUGGGGGAAAAGCCACUGCAGAAAAAAGCCAAAUUGCAAAAAAUCAAAUUGGAAGUUCUGAGUUGCCAAGAUCAUUGGAAGAUUCAAAUGAUUGCUUUGGCACCAAAAAAAGUCAGUGUCUUUGGGAAAAUGAAGAUGAUACAGCUAUCAGUAGAAGACAGGACAAUCAGAUAGGUGAAAAAGAGUACAUCACCCUACCAGAUUACCCUUCACUUCCUUGUCAACCUGUUCUUUCUUCAGGAAUAACUGAUAUAUCUUUAUUACAAACCGAAAGAGAGAAGAUUAUCAAACAAAUGAAACAAGUAAAGGAAGAAAGAAGGUAUCUGGAAAGAAAUAGAGAAGAACUAGUAAAAACAGUUGAAAAGCUAUUUGAACAAAGCAAAUUAAAACAAUAUGCCUAUGAUGGUUGGAAGAAAAAAUACUUGGAAACAAAGAAAGUCACAGCAUCAAUGGAGGAGGUUUUAACAAAACUUCGAGAAGAUUUGGAACUCUGCUAUAAAAAACUGCUCAUGCAGCUUGAAGCCAGGGAGAUCAAGAUGAGACCAAAGAAUCUGGCAAACAUCACAGACUCCAAGAAUUACCUGAUAAUCCAGAUCACUGAGGUACAGCAUGCAAUUGACCAGCUUAAGAGAAAACUGAAUACUGACAAAAUGAAACUCAUAGUAGAAGUUAAGGUGAGAAAACAAGCAGUUUCAGAUUUACGAACAUUGAAAACUGAACUGGCACAGAAAAAAAAAUAAUACAUCUCUACAAUCUCAAUUAGUUGCUGGAAGUGUGCCUAGCUAGGAGCUCUACAGAAGAUUUUGUUUAUGAUGAAUCGGCCAAAUCAAAAGGGAGCAUUGGCUGCUGCAAUACAUUCUGACCAGAUCUGACUUUGUUCAUCAUAAGACAUCACAAAGAGGAAGUCACAAGCAUCUGCGAUUCCAGUAUAAUUAUAGCAUCUUCUGUCUAUGUUCUUUGGAGACCAAGCUACGUCAAAGGUUACCUGUGGAAAAAAAUCUUACUAUUUUAUGUAACAUGAUCAAGUAUGCAUAUUAUGUCAGAUUUUUAAAAUUAUAUAUAUUUUUUACCUUAUACUACACAAGGAAAAGGAACUGCUUACAGUAUAUGAAUGUAGGGUUUGACACACAUAGAACUUGAACCAUUCUAAGAAAUAUUUUUUGCUUACACUUGACUGAGUCAGACAUAUAUUUGGACAUACAAUGACCAGGAGCAAGACACUAUAUAGAAGAUGGCCUUCAAACUCAAAAUGUCUUCAAACGCUAGGCUGGCACCUCAGCUGAUUAAAAGAAGCAGGUAUAAUGACAACAGGGUAUGGUGAUGCCCCUGAGCAACUAGAGCGUAAAGGCACACUAAAAGAAUUCAAAUACAAAAGUUUUUAAAAUAUUGUGCAGGUUAAAUAUGUCACCUGUUGGCACAACCUGACUGGGUUGCGAGUUUCAGCCCCUGAUUCACAAUCACCUUAUAUGGUAGAUUUGGCCCAAUAUUACAGUUAGACAAUAGUGGUGUCUUAUGGUCCACGGGUAUAGAUUAAUCAAGUCAAAAUGUUGAAUAAAUCAUUUAAAUGAUCUUAUUUUAUGGAAAUAUUCAAAUAAAUGUUGAGUAUUAUUUUUCUUUUUUGGGGGGGAUGGAGUCUCACUCUGUCACCCAAGGUGGAGUGCAGUGGCGCAAUCUCAGCUCACUGCAACCUCUGCCUCCUGGGUUCAAGUGAUUCUCCUGCCUCAGCCUCCCACAUAGCUGGGAUUACAGGCAUGCGCCACCACGCCCAGCUAAUUUUUUUGUAUUUUUAGUAGAGACAGGGUUCGCCAUGUUGCCCAGGCUGGUCUUGAACUCCUGACCUCAGCUGAUCUGCCGGCCUCAGCCUCCCAAAGUGCUUACAGGCGUGAGCCACCACACCCAGCCUUAUCUUUCAUUUUGAAUAGUGAGCCAGCCUUCAACAAGAGUGUGUCUCUUUGUGUUUAUUGCCUUAACCAAAUAUUAAUUAGCCUUAUUUUAUAUGUGUACAAAUGUUCUAAAACUUCAUUAAAGGUUGUUUUCCCCCCUUAAUUAGGCACUCAAUAAACGCUGUUUAUUUUAAAAACUGAGAUACUUUAGGUAACAUUUUUAUACUUUGAACAAUUUAUUCUAGCAAAACUCUUUUUAGGACUUCUUCAAAGUUCUCUUUAUAAUUCCCUGAGUAUUAGCACUUUACAGUUACAAGCUUUGCUCAGUAGUUUUCCAACAAAAUAAGUUAUGAAGUAAAAUUAUUACAUAUUUGUUCCUAUUUUGUCACUGCCUCCUAUUAUAAAAUGAGAGGUAUAUUAUAGUAAUAGAGAAAAAUAAAUGACUACAUCUACGCAAGUAAAUUUCAAAUCCAUUUUGUAAGAGUAUUUUCACCAAGAUUUUCUCUCACAGUUAAUCUCAUAUUUUUGAGAUGGUACUAUUAUUAUAUUAGACAAGAAAGCAAAAGAUUUGGGUGCUAGUGUCAGCUGUCUUAUAAUUAGGUCUGUAUCACUGCUGUCAAUUAAAGCAUCUGAAUUUUUCUCACCUAUAAAAAUGAGAGUGUAGAAAGAACUCUUCAAGGCAUUUAUUUGUAGCUCUUUAAUUCUGUGACCACAAUUCUGUAAACUAAAGUUAUUAUCUUAUCCCCAAAACUCAUUCCCCCCUCUAGAUUAUCUAGUCAUUUUUUGUUGGUUACCAGUUUAAAAACUUUGGGGCCAUUUUCUGAUUCUUUCUUCCCUUACUUCCAAAAUGUAACCUCAUGUCUCCCUUUGGGUGGCAUCUCACAGUUGUUCUGCUCCUUCCUUUCCAUUAAUUAAUUCAUUUAAUAUGUAUUUAUUGUACACCUGCUGAUUUAGGAUUAUGUCAUCAUCCAAAUCCAAACUAAAUCCCUUGAUACUGUAUUGUUCAGUUAGUAGUCCUUACUGAUCUUCCUUUCUCUUCUAGUUUUAGAUACUCCUACAGAAUAGUUUCCCCAAACACUAUUUUACACACAUAACCCAUUACACACAGAAUAAAAUGCACAGUCCUCAGCCUGACAUUCUGGAUCUUCCACAAUCUGGCCUACCUUUGCAACUGUCCCUCCCACUAAUUCAACCUAACAUGAACUUGACAUGUAGCCCAAAUUGUUCUCCUCACCUCUCAAGAGAUAGAGAUAUUCCUACUGCAAGGAUUUUGCUCAAUGUCUUCCUCUCUGCUCUUUCACUGCAGCUUAAUCAGGAUUGUCAAAUAGGUUGUUUCCCAUAUAUUCCACACAUCAAUUCUAACCUAUUAGUAAUGACCAUAGAGGAUGAAGGAAAAGUUUCUGAGGCCAAAAUGUGUGAGGAGAAGAAGGGGUAUUGUGGCCUGUAUGCCAGGUAUUUGCUAUUCUUAAUCUACAUUGUACUCUCCUGACAAGUUGAAUUCCAUACUGACAGAUCUUCCCUAUUUGCAUAAAACCACAGAAAUGUCAGUCUUCAUAUUGCUUAUUAUUUUACCAAUAAUUCUCAAAUUAUUUUACCUGUAAUUUUCAAAUUCAUGACGACCAACUCUACCAGAAUCACCUAGAACACUUGGCAAAAAUACAGUUCUCUAAGCUCUAUCCCAGACCUACUGAGUCAGUCUCAGUGAUAUGAUUUGGAUCUGUGUCCCCGCCCAAAUCUCAUGUUGAAUAGUAAUCCCCAAUGUUGAAGGCAGGGCCUGGUAGGAGGUAACUGGAUUACAGGGGCAGAUUUCCCCCUCCAGUGCUGUUCUCGUGAUAGAGUCCUCACGAGAUCUGAUUGUUUCAAAGUGUGUGGCACCUCCCCACUCUCUCUCUCUCUCCUUCUCCGGCUGUUUGAAGUGCUGAUCCCGCUUUGCCUUCCACCAUGACUGUAAGUUUUCCUGAGGCCUCCCAGAAGCCAAGCAGAUGUCAGCAUUAUGCUUCCUGUAUAGCCUGCAGAACUGUGAGCCAAUUAAACCUAUUGUCUCUAUAAAUUA